UCAUCUUAUUCUACUCAUUCGAUUAGAUUGUUAUCCCAACUCCCUUCCUAGUGUGAUGUGCCCCACAUUAAACGCCAUUCAGACUUUAUCAACUACAACGCUAGUCUCAAUUCACUUCACCAGCCAAAGACCAAUUUUUAAACCUCAAAUGUCUUGAGCUGAUUCUUGCAUCAACAUUUUCUUCAGCAAGAAGCAUCCUUUACCCAAAUCUUUUAGCUGAUUCCGCUUGAAAUUUCAACAUAAUAAAACUUUUUUGAUUUCCCAUUAACUAAAGUGUAAGCUUCAUGAGAGAAAGCACAGGAAAGCCUAUGAGAAAACUAAUAUUUUAGUAGUGCAUUCUCAGAAAUAAGGCAUUAUGGGCACCUUAUUAAGAAAAUGAAAUAUGAAAGGACUACUAUAUAUUUCAUACUCGCUCCUACCCUGAAAUGAUUUUUAUAUAUCUAUCACUUGUCUGCUAAAUCAGUUCUCAAAAUUUCCAUUUAAACAGUAUACCAAUUAAAAGAGUUAAUUGCUCCAUGUUAGAAUCCAUUUAAUAUCUUUUACAGAUCAACGUGCUAGUCUGCUAUCUUUUAAACACACCUCUAUUUCCUCCCUUCUAACAGCCUUAGAGAAAUUUUCAACAUUUACUCUCCCAAGUUCGCCUUUCUCUUCCAAAACUUCGUAAUAAAAAUCUGCACUUCUGCUCUCAUAGCUGUUUUUUAUUUAAAAAUAACUCUAUAAUUACCCCUUUUAAGGCUAAUCCUAGGCAGAAUAGAGUUACUUUCAGUAAAACUCUGCUUUAAAACUCAUGAUGCUUGAAAGGAAAUAACCAGCUUGUCAGGAUAAGGCAGGCAGGAGAAUCACAAGGUCAAUCCCGUCCUAGACUACUUAGUAAGAAUCUUGUCUCAAAAAAAAUUACACUCCACCUGAGUCUAACUGACCCCGCGACCCCACGCCAUCCAUCAUGCCAUGCCCCGCGCAUCCCGUGGUGCCCCGCGCGACCCUGCGUGCUGUAUUCACGCCUUCCGGGAGGCAGGAAGAGCGACGUGCCAGGCCGGAGGGCAGCCGGACCCAAAGAGUAGGUAGGUGCCUUGAGCUGUGUUCUAUCUUCAGAAUCGGGGAGGUGAAGCAGCCGUUUCCUUCCGGAUGUGGGCGGUACUCUCUUGCAGCUGCGCAGCCGGAGAGUAGAGGAGGAGAGGUUCGGUAAGAAACACACCAGCGAGUACCUUCAGAAGAAGAGUGCCGCCAGUCUCUCCGUCCAGGGAGGUGAAGCAGCCGUUUCCUUCCGGAUGUGGGCGGUACUCUCUUGCAGCUGCGCAGCCGGAGAGUAGAGGAGGAGAGGUUCGGUAAGAAACACACCAGCGAGUACCUUCAGAAGAAGAGUGCCGCCAGUCUCUCCGUCCAGGGAGGUGAAGCAGCCGUUUCCUUCCGGAUGUGGGCGGUACUCUCUUGCAGCUGCGCAGCCGGAGAGUAGAGGAGGAGAGGUUCGGUAAGAAACACACCAGCGAGUACCUUCAGAAGAAGAGUGCCGCCAGUCUCUCCGUCCAGGGAGGUGAAGCAGCCGUUUCCUUCCGGAUGUGGGCGGUACUCUCUUGCAGCUGCGCAGCCGGAGAGUAGAGGAGGAGAGGUUCGGUAAGAAACACACCAGCGAGUACCUUCAGAAGAAGAGUGCCGCCAGUCUCUCCGUCCAGGGAGGUGAAGCAGCCGUUUCCUUCCGGAUGUGGGCGGUACUCUCUUGCAGCUGCGCAGCCGGAGAGUAGAGGAGGAGAGGUUCGGUAAGAAACACACCAGCGAGUACCUUCAGAAGAAGAGUGCCGCCAGUCUCUCCGUCCAGGGAGGUGAAGCAGCCGUUUCCUUCCGGAUGUGGGCGGUACUCUCUUGCAGCUGCGCAGCCGGAGAGUAGAGGAGGAGAGGUUCGGUAAGAAACACACCAGCGAGUACCUUCAGAAGAAGAGUGCCGCCAGUCUCUCUGUCCAGGGAGGUGAAGCAGCCGUUUCCUUCCGGAUGUGGGCGGUACUCUCUUGCAGCUGCGCAGCCGGAGAGUAGAGGAGGAGAGGUUCGGUAAGAAACACACCAGCGAGUACCUUCAGAAGAAGAGUGCCGCCAGUCUCUCUGUCCAGGGAGGUGAAGCAGCCGCUGCGCAGCCGGAGAGUAGAGGAGGAGAGGUUCGGUAAGAAACACACCAGCGAGUACCUUCAGAAGAAGAGUGCCGCCAGUCUCUCCGUCCAGGGAGGUGAAGCAGCCGUUUCCUUCCGGAUGUGGGCGGUACUCUCUUGCAGCUGCGCAGCCGGAGAGUAGAGGAGGAGAGGUCCGGUAAGAAACAGAGCAGCGAGUACCUUGAGAAGAAGAGUGCCUCCCGUCUCUCCGUCCUCGUCCGGUUUCCGGUUUCGGACCUGCUGGAAGGAUCCUGACGUCGCCGCUCGCCACAGCCCGCCUAUGCAUCAAGGUUUUUAAAGAGCAGAUGCAUCUUCU